rnacentral:lncRNA from 1 species
AGACACAGUUUCUUCCUCCUCUUCCUCUUGUAUCAGAGGGAGGAAGAGGAGGAAGGAUUACAACAAGUUACAACAAAUGGUGCUUCAAGUCUUAAUCAUUCUGGUGCACUCCAACAGCAAACAUUGAAACAGAAAAUACGAAAUUCUACAGAUCAUCAAGUGCUGCAGGUCUAGUCGACAAGCAAUAGAAAAUUUCUCCUGCUGAAUGUAUCCAUUUUUCCCAAUGGAGUCUUGGCGUGAAUCCGUUGCUGCAAAUGUGUCCGGAUGUAACAGACACAAUUAGGUGUUCAUCAUAUAGAUAUUCGUUGAGACUGAAUGACCUCUGGAAUCAAUCCCCCAAGAUGUGCAGAUCACCAAUAACCUUCCUCAUGGAUAAAGAACAGGUCGACAACUUCCCAAGGAGGCUCUAAACAAAUAUAUAGGCCUUCUGGAAACUACUGGGCAAACCCUCACCGUAAAUCAGAUUUAGUUUUAGUUCAUCUUUGAGCAUCUCGGAACACUUCUAACUCUCUCUGAAUAUUACUUUAUCUGUGCAAAAACUGCUGCUUCUGCUAAAAUUCAUUGAUCAUAUAUACACGCUUUUCAUAUAAUUUCUAUUUGUAUAAAUAUUAUUUUGUAUAAUUUUCUUUUUAUAUUCCGAUAACACAUGAAACCAAGAUUUUAUUCCCCUGUCCUAUUCUAAGCUAAGGCCCUCUUCUAAUGUAAGUUUUAAAUUAGUUUUUAAGAUUUAAGAUUUUAAUUUUAAUUAGGUCAAUGACUUACGUCUACAUUGACACGGUGGCCUCCCAGUUAGUGUGAACUUGCAAGAUGUAUACUAGCGUUAAGGUCGGUGGCUCCCAGUAAGUGUGUUGAUCCUGUAGUUAGCGUGUUGAGGGUUGGUCCAGUUGUCGAUGGAGGUAAAAUGACAGUUUCGGACUAUUAGUCAACUAAAAUGAAAAAUUUACAGCAUGUAUGUAAUUGGGUCCCAUGUAUAAUUAUGCGUGGUGACGGUGGGCGAGUGCGCGGAUUUGUGCUAGUCUAACAUUGUAACUACCUCAGGUAUUAUGCUUAAGUUUAGGAUUAAACCACUUCCUUCUGUUAUUGUACGAGUAACUAUGCAUUAUCGUGUGUACAAAGAUGAAGUGAAAUACCACCCUGAGAAACACUAGGACGUAGUAUUCCAUUAUUCAUUUAUGUACUAUGUAGAAUGUCCGACUGCACAUAUACAGACGGACAUACAAAUAUACAUAUUUGGUAGAAAAACCCACAAUGCAAAAACAAGAUUAGUUGAAAAUGAGACUAUAGUUUCGAAAUCUAUCUGGGUUCCAUCUUCCGGCCAGAAGAUGGUAUCUUUUUCAAUAAAUCUAUUUAGUUUAUGUAAUGUGCUUGUUCUGCCAUAGUAUCGAAGAGUGUUUUACUCAUAUUUGUAUGUAAUUGUAUGUGCGUAUGUGUAUAUAGGCAUUUGCAUAUGUAUGAACAUGAAAUGGUAUUUGUACAUUUAUACAUGUGUAUGCUCGUUUUCUUUUUUAUGUAUACUUAUGCAUUGUAGUGCAAAUGUGGUUAGGUUAUAAGUCUCCCUAUGCUAGAAUCCAAAUUGGUGCUUCUAAUUAAGGUCCAUAUGCUGUAUUUUUCUCUAAUAAAUACAUGUUACAUAUACGG